GACGAACGCUGACGGCGUGCUUAACACAUGCAAGUCGAAGGGAGUGGCGAACGGGUGAGUAACACGUGAGUAACCUGCCCUUUUCUUUGGGAUAAGCCUGGGAAACUGGGUCUAAUACUGGAUGGAUUGGGAUGGGCUCGCGGCUUAUCAGCUUGUUGGUGGGGUGAUGGCUUACCAAGACUUUGACGGGUAGCCGGCCUGAGAGGGGGGACGGUGACUCUGGGACUGAGCUACGGCCCAGACUGCUACGGAGGGGAGCAGUGGGGGAUAUGGCAGAAUGGACGAAAGUCCUAUGCAGCGUCGUCGUGUGGGGGAUGAAGGCCUUCGAGUUGUAUACUCCUUGAGCCAGCGGAAUGGUAGUGGCUAAAGAAGCGCCGGCUAACUACGUGCCAGCAGCCGCGGUAAUUC
rnacentral:rRNA from 1 species